GCUUCAAGCGCCAAAGCUCAGCCCGAAGAACGAGACGCGAUCAUGUGCAUGAUUGCAGGCAGCUACCGAAUUUCUCAUGAAGGCAGAAUUUGUUUACCGAUUUGAAGUACAUGAUAUGAAUACAUCACAUUGUAAUAUGGCCUUCAAUUACUGAAUUCCCUCUCUCUAGAUGUCUUUGGCAGAAGAACACAAGGACCUUUGAAUGUCUCUGCUGCACGUUAAUGGAAUCUGAACUACAUUAAAGGUUGUGAAACCGAGAACAGCAUCAAACUUUAUUUAAUGGAUUUAUGUAAUGCUAGGGGGCAGUUUUACUGAUGCACAGACAAUGGCCUGUGAUUGUAUUCAUUUAUAAUACUAUGCAUGAUAAAAAGUCAACAUUAGGGGAAAAGAGUUUAGUUUAAAAUGCCAUGAGAUACUGCAGAAUUAUUUGUGCAACAGAACCAUAGAGAGGACUGGAUUACUGUGAUUUAUUCACUUUUUUAUUCAAGCCACUAAUCAGCUACGGUGCUAUAUACUGUAAAAACCACCAGACAAGGUCACAGGGGAUUAAAAUGAGGCAGAACCACAUGCAAAUGCUUACAUUGUUUGCUGUUACUAUUAAAAUAUCACAGGUUCACAGGUUUAAUAGCUGAUUACGAGAGAGAGAGAGAGAGAGAGAG